AGUAGGCCCAAGCCUGCCCUAGAGUUAGGCCGCAUCCGGGGAAAACGGGCUCGGAGCGGAGAGAAGGAGCCCAGCCGAGACCGCGUUACCUUCCUGGCGGAUCCCGCGACGUCCUUCCCCGCGGCGGCCCCGAAGACGCGCUCCUCCAGGCUCUCCAGCCUCCCCUGAAGCUGAUGCAGCUCCGCAGACGCCGCCAUCUUGGCCAGUCCUGUCACUGGAAGCCCGUCCCGAAGGCGGACCAAUCAGGAGCGGCUGCGGCGGAAGUGACGCAUGGAAUGCGCCUCAGAGCUCUCUCAGAUCACAAAAAGAUGGCCUCAGAUCACCUCACAACCUGUGAGGAGGCCUGCCAUAGAUGUGGGCGAAACGUCAGGAGAGAAUGCUUCUGGAACAUGGCCAUUCAGCCCGGAAAGCAUACAAUCACCCUGUGAUCCCGGCCAUGAAAGCCUUCGACACCACAUUGAUUACAAAAGAUUACCUCACAACCUGUGAGGAGGCCUGCCAUAGAUGUGGGCGAAACGUCAGGCGAGAAUGCUUCUGGAACAUGGCCAUUCAGCCCGGAAAGCAUACAAUCACCCUGUGAUCCCGGCCAUGAAAGCCUUCGACACCACAUUGAUUACAAAAGAUUACCUCACAACCUGUGAGGAGGCCUGACAUAGAUGUGGGCGAAACGUCAGGAGAGAAUGCUUCUGGAACAUGGCCAUACAGCCCGGAAAACAUACAAUAACCCUGUGAUCCCGGCCAUGAAAGCCUUCGACACCACAUUGAUUACAAAAGAUUACCUCACAACCUAUGAGGAUGCCCGCCAUAGAUGUGGGAGAAACGUCAGGAGAGAAUGCUUCUAGAACAUGGCCAUACAGCCCGGAAAACAUACAACAACCCUGAUUACAACAGAGUUAGGAAGCUGGUUCAACAGACAAGCAAAGAGAGAGAAGAAACAGGACCAAUAGGUCAGAGCUUCCGUUUGAACUGUCUGGCUGGAACUCAAGAACUCAGGAAUGCGGGAGGUGCCAGCCUUGUAGAGAUAACAGCUGUGCCAAGCAGAGAAGACGAGCCAUAUGUGCGGAGAACUAUGGCUUUAGCAACUGUAUAUAUUUGUAUAAUAAAGUAUUUAGACCUGCUGGGAUCAGCAGUAUAUCAACGACUCAGCUGUUGUUUUGUUGGUGCCACUUUGGAGCUGCAUAAAGUGGUCCUUCGGGUGAGCAGACGAAGAGAACCGACUCACAAAAUCAGUCAGGGUGACGGAUGAUUGAUUCAACUCCCUAUCCCAUCAUCCACACCACCCUGACACAGAAGUCAGGAAUCCAUCUGAAGAGCAUCUUAGGAAGUUGUGGAUAAUUUGCUUGGGAAAGAUGAGGCUGGAAGGGAAUAGGAGAGCAUGUUUAAAUAUUGGAAAAGAGGUCAAUAUUGAGGAGUGGGCAAGAUUGUUUUUUACAGCUAUGAAGACACAGUGGAGUCAUGGAUUGAUAUUGCAGGAAAAGAGAUCCCACCUAAACCAAGCUUUAGCACAGCUGGCCAAUCACCAUAAGAUCUUUACCAACCAAAAGAUUGUCAGUUCGAGCCAGGGUCAAGGUGAGCUUAGCUCACUGCCCACCUAAGCAGUUUGAAAAUAGCUGAGCUAUGAGUAGAGAAAUUAGGUACCGCUUAAGCAGGGGAGGUAUUUUAAAAAGGAAGUUGGCGAUCAAAGAACAGGAGGAAAGUCUGUGAUUGAAGGCUCCUCGUCACAGAGGAUGGAGUGACAGCACUCCCUGUGGCUGGAAUCAAGUACAACCUCCAGGACGCCGAAAUUGGGGAAAAUGCCAUAUACCUUUAUCUGUUGUUGUAUGUUUAACAGCAUUGAAUAUUUUCCAUGUAUAUGUUCUGUGAUCUCCCCGAGUCCCUUUUGGUUUUUUGUGUGUGUCAGGAGCGACGUGAGCAACUGCAAGUCACUUCUGGUGUGAGAGAAUUUAUUUAUUACAAUAUUUAUAUCCCGCCCUUCUCACACAACAGGGGACUCAGAGAAUUGGCUGUCUGCAAGGACGUUGCCCAGGGGACAUUGCCUGGAUGUUUUGAUGUUUUACCAUCCUUGUGGGAGGCUUCUCUCGUGUCUCUGCAUGGGGAGCUGGAGCUGACGGAGGGAGCUCAUCUGCACUCUCGCCAGGUUGGAUUAGAACUAGCAACCUUCAGGUCAGCAGUCCUGGCAGCGCAAGGGUUUAACCCACUGCACCACCAGGGGCUCCACCCUUCAGGGUGAGAAGGGUGGAAUAUAAAUGCUGUAAAAAAUAAUAAGUAAAUAAAUGUUAGGAAGAACUUCUGAUGGUCAGAGUUGUUCAAGAGGGAAUCACUGCUGCCUGGGAAUCCAAUGGAGUCUCCUCUGGUGGUUUUUAAAGAAGAGACUAGAUGGUCAUCUCUCAGGAGGGCUUGGAUGGUGUCUUCUUGUAGAAUGGGGUUGGACUGGGUGUCCCUUGGGGUUCCCUUCUACUCUGAUUCUGACCAGAAGCCAGCACCUGUCCUGAGGAGCAUGCCUUGCUUCCAGGCCCCUGUGACAUGAAGAAGUGCCUCUGCCUGCCUUCCCGAAACAAAUCCUCUCUGCUUCCACUUUGUCUUGCUGUCCUUCUGUGUUCGGCAGCCAUUGAUUGGCUUCCCGGGCGAUGCGUCUUGCAGCCGUCUCCUCGAAUCCUGGGUGAAGUGCCUAUAUAUCUCCGGCAAGCCUUGGUCUACGGUUAUCUGGCUUUCUGUCUGUCUUAUGUUUGUUUGCAGCGGCUGUCUUGCCAUUGACUUCCAGCAUCCAUCGGCCCAAAGUGUCCGUCUGGAGUAUUUAUUGGUUCACUUGGGCUACUCUUGGUGGAAGUGUGACACAUACUGUGCACUUUUCAAAAUGGAAAGCAACAACAUACUGUAUAUACUCGAGUAUGAGCCGAGUUUUUCAGCCCUUUUUUAGGAUUAAAAAAAACCCCUCGGCUUAUACUUAGGUGACGGUCCUGGAUGGCUUAUAUUCAAGUAUAUAGGAUACAUUUAUUAAUUUUCUCUAUUAUAAUUGGUAUUAUUACAUUUACUAUUUUAUUCUAUUUAUUAUUAUAAUUACAUUUAUUAUUUUACACUAUUUUUAUUGUUACCAUUACAUUUAUUUUACUCUAUUUUUUAUUAUUAUUAAUACAUUUAUUAUUUCACUCUGAUAUUAUUAUUAUUAUUAUUAUUAUUUAUUUUACUCUAUUACUACAUGUGUUAUUUUCCUAUAUUUAUUAUUAUUAUUAUUAUUAUUAUUAUUAUUGCAUGUAUUAUUUUACUCUGUUAUUAUUAAAAGGAUACAUAAGCACAUUUACAUUGAAGAAGAUGAAAAUAAUGAUUUAAUCAGAGUUGGACAGUCUUAUCUUAAAUUACAGUUUUAUGUAAAUAUUCAAAAACAUUUAACCUACUGAUGCCUUAGUUAAUGUAAUCCUAUUGGUAUCUAUUUUUAUUUCUGAAAUGUACUGCUCUCGGCUUAUACUUGAGUAAAUGUUUUCCCAGUUUUCUUGUGGUAAAAUUAGGCGCCUCGGCUUAUUUUCGGGUUGGCUUAUACUUGAGUAUAUUCGGUAACUUAUAAAUAUUUGUUUGUUUGUUUAUUUGCAUUAUUUAUAUUCCACCCUUCUUUCUCACCCCGAAGGGGACUCAGGGCGGAUCACAAUGUGCACAUACAUGGCAAACAUUCAAUGCCAUAUGAACAGAGACCGAGACACAGACAGAGACACAGAGGCAAUUUAACCUUUUCCAGCUUCCCGCUUCCUGUGAGUAUGCUUAAGCGGAUGAGGGGGAUAAGGAAGGCAACUGAGGAUGUUAGGAAUGGUGGGAGCUGCAGUCCAAAACACCUGGAAGGAGGACCCAAGUUUGCCCAUGCCUGAUCUACACUGUAGGAUUAAUGCAGUUUGGCUCCACUUUAACUACCAUGGCUCAAUGCUAUGGAAUCAUGGGAGUUGUAUUUUUACCGGGAAUCCAGCCUUCUGUGCCAAAUACUGCUGGCACCUCACCAAACUACAUCUUACAGAAUCCCAUAGCAUUGAACCAGGGGCAGAUAAAGUGGUAUCAAAGUGCUUUCAUUCUGCAGUGUAGAUGAACGUUUUGCGGCCAAAUCUUAGAAGCCAGUCCCAUUGGGUUUAGCCAUGUACCAUAUAUACUCGAGUAUAAGCCAACCCGAAUAUAAGCCGAGGCACCUAAUUUUACCACAAAAACCUGGGAAAACAUUGACUCCGGUAUAAGCCGAGGGUGGUAAAUUUCAGAGAUAAAAAUAGAUAUCAAUAAAAUUACAUUAAUUGAGGCAUCAGUAGGUUAAAUAUUUUUGAAUAUUUACAUAAAGCUCAAAUUUAAGAUAAGACUGUCCAACUCUAAUCAAAUCAUUAUUCUCAUCUUCUUCAAUGUAAAUGUGCUUAUGUAUUCUUUUAAUAAUAAUAGAGUAAAACAAUACAUAUAAUAGUAAUAAUAAUAAUAAAUACAGGAAAAUAAUACAAGUAAUAAUAAAUAGAGUAAAAUAAUAAAUGCAAUAAUAAUAAUAAUGAGAUCAGAGUGAAAUAAUAGAUGUAUUAAUAAUAAUAAUAAAAAUAGAGUAAAAUAAAUGUAAUAGCAACAAUAAUAGAAAAAAAUCAUAAAUGUAAUAAUACCAAUAAUAAUAGAGAAAAUCAUAAAUGUACCAUAUAUUCUCGAGUAUAAGCUGACCCAAAUAUAAGCCAACUGGGACCCUCACAUGGGUAUAUGCCGAGGGGGCUUUUCUGUCUUAAAAAAGGCUGAAAAACUAGGCUUAUACUCGAG
rnacentral:lncRNA from 1 species